GUUACAGUAAGGUACUGCUCUCCUCUGCCUCCCAUCUCAGACCUCUGGCUUCCCUGAAUGUGCACAGCCCCUUUGAAAAAACAUUUGAAGUUACAGUGAUGUUGCAUUCCUGUCCUUGGGAGAAUAUGUGAUUCUGAGAUGUUUUUCUUGCCCCGAACUAGAAUUAAGAAGGUCCGAUCACAAAAGAAUGAUCAUCAAUCAUGAUCAUGAUAGGACAAAGGGGAAUGGUUUUAAACUGGGACAGGGGAGGUUUAGGUUGGAUAUCAGGAGGAAGUUUUUUCACUCAGAGGGUGGUGAUGCACUGGAACAGGUUGCCCAAGGAGGCUGUGGAUGCCCCAUCCCUGGAGGCAUUCAAGGCCAGGCUGGAUGUGGCUCUGGGCAGCCUGGUCUGGUGAGAUCGGAAAACAUCAAUGAAAAAAGCACAGCUGAGAAUCGCGUGCCAGCUAGCGCAGUGUGGUGGUAGGUGGGUGGUUGCACUGGAUGAUAUUGGAGGUGUUUUCCAACCUUGGUGAUUCUCUGAUUCUAUGAACCAAGAGCAAGAUUAUGCCAACAGUAAAAAAUCAGAAGCAAGGAGCUACAGCAGCACAGGUCACGGCUAUUCUAGAGGGCUCCCACCUCUGGGAGUUGGGGCUGGAAGACAGAACCUGUCUGUGCAAAGGGAUCUUCCCUGCUGGGUAAGACAGUGAGCACUGGCACAUAUAAGGCUAGCAUGAAAAAUGCUAACAUC
ensembl:lncRNA